ACGGGUAGCCGGCCUGAGAGGGCGACCGGCCACACUGGGACUGAGACACGGCCCAGACUCCUACGGGAGGCAGCAGUGGGGAAUAUUGCACAAUGGGCGCAAGCCUGAUGCAGCGACGCCGCGUGAGGGAUGACGGCCUUCGGGUUGUAAACCUCUUUCACCAGGGACGAAGAGUGAUUGACGGUACCUGGAGAAGAAGCACCGGCCAACUACGUGCCAGCAGCCGCGGUAAUACGUAGGGUGCGAGCGUUGUCCGGAAUUACUGGGCGUAAAGAGCUCGUAGGCGGUUUGUCGCGUCGUUCGUGAAAUCUUGAUGCUUAACAUCAAGCGUGCGGGCGAUACGGGCAGACUUGAGUACUACAGGGGAGACUGGAAUUCCUGGUGUAGCGGUGAAAUGCGCAGAUAUCAGGAGGAACACCGGUGGCGAAGGCGGGUCUCUGGGUAGUAACUGACGCUGAGGAGCGAAAGCGUGGGUAGCGA
rnacentral:rRNA from 1 species